rnacentral:rRNA from 1 species
GACAGAGGUGGCAAGCGUUAUUCGGAUUUACUGGGCGUAAAGGGCGUGUAGGCGGUUGUGCAAGUCUGGUGUGAAAACGCUACCGCUCAACGGAGCGAAGCCGCUGGAAACUGCACAACUGGAGACUGGAAGAGGUAGGUGGUAUACCUGGUGUAGCGGUGGAAUGCUUAGAUAUCAGGUGGAACACCGGAGGCGAAGGCGGCCUACUGGUCCAGUUCUGACGCUGAAACGCGAAAGCGUGGGGAUCAAACGCG